UACGGAGGGUGCAAGCGUUGCUCGGAAUUACUGGGCGUAAAGCGCGUGUAGGCGGUCAUUGAAGUCCGGUGUGAAAGCCCUCGGCUUAACCGAGGAAGUGCGCCGGAAACCAAAUGACUAGAGUGUCGGAGGGGAACGUGGAAUUCCCAGUGUAGAGGUGAAAUUCGUAGAUAUUGGGAGGAAUACCAGUGGCGAAGGCGACGUUCUAGACGACAACUGACGCUAAGACGCGACAGCGUGGGGAGCAAAC
rnacentral:rRNA from 1 species